rnacentral:rRNA from 1 species
AUUGAACGCUGGCGGCAUGCUUUACACAUGCAAGUCGAACGGCAGCGCGGGCUUCGGCCUGGCGGCGAGUGGCGAACGGGUGAGUAAUGCAUCGGAACGUGCCCAGUAGUGGGGGAUAGCCCGGCGAAAGCCGGAUUAAUACCGCAUACGACCUGAGGGUGAAAGCGGGGGACCGAAAAGCCUCGCGCAAUUGGAGCGGCCGAUGUCGGAUUAGCUAGUUGGUGGGGUAAAGGCUUACCAAGGCCACGAUCCGUAGCUGGUCUGAGAGGAAGACCAGGCACACUGGGACUGAGACACGGCCCAGACUCCUACGGGAGGCAGCAGUGGGGAAUGUUUGACAAGGGGGGCAACCCUGAUCCAGCCAUGCCGCGUGCGAGAAGAAGGCCUUCGGGUUGUAAACCGCUUUUUUUCGGGAAGAAAACCUCUGGGCUAAUACCCCGGGGGGAUGACGGUACCGGAAAAAUAAGCACCGGCUAACUACGUG